AUUGAACGCUGGCGGCAUGCCUUACACAUGCAAGUCGAACGGUAACGCGGGGCAACCUGGCGACGAGUGGCGAACGGGUGAGUAAUGUAUCGGAACGUGCCCAGUUGUGGGGGAUAACUGCUCGAAAGAGCAGCUAAUACCGCAUACGACCUGAGGGUGAAAGCGGGGGAUCGCAAGACCUCGCGCAGUUGGAGCGGCCGAUAUCAGAUUAGGUAGGUGGUGGGGUAAAGGCUCACCAAGCCAACGAUCUGUAGCUGGUCUGAGAGGACGACCAGCCACACUGGACUGAGACACGGCCCAGACUCCUACGGGAGGCAGCAGUGGGGAAUUUUUGUCAAUGGGCGCAAGCCUGAUCCAGCCAUGCCGCGUGCGGGAAGAAGGCCUUCGGGUUGUAAACCGCUUUUGUCAGGGAAGAAAAGACUCCUGUUAAUACCGGGGGUUCAUGACGGUACCUGAAGAAUAAGGACCGGCUAACUACGUGCCAGCCGCCGCCGUAA
rnacentral:rRNA from 1 species